rnacentral:rRNA from 1 species
GACGUAGGAGGCGAGCGUUGUCCGGAAUUACUGGGCGUAUAGGGCGCGUAGGCGGUCCGUCACGCCAUUGGUGAAAGGCAGCGGCUCAACCGCUGAGCAGCCAGUGGAACGGACGGACUGGAGGGUCGGCGAGGUUGGUAGAAUUCCCGGUGUAGUGGUGAAAUGCGUAGAGAUCGGGAGGAAUACCCGUGGCGAAGGCGGCCAACUGGACGACACCUGACGCUGAGGCGCGAAGGCGUGGGGAGCGAACGGG